GGGGAUGUAGCUCAGCGGUAGAGCGCAUGCAUCGCAUGUAUGAGGUCCCAGGUUCAAUCCCCGGCAUCUCCA